UGACACGCAAAUGACUUCAACCCAAAAAGCUUCAGAACAACACUAAGAUCCAAACACAUUUUUUAAGACCCUUGAAAAGCAUCCAUGGACUUUCAGUAAUUCAACACCUCAGAAAAACCAAACAAGGCCUUCAAUGGAACAGUGAAUAUGGGAUUGCUGGGGUUCCAGAAAUAGUUUUUGGAAAUUUUAGUUUUAAAAUUCGAAGAGGUUUGUAUAGAUCCUCUUCAGAUUGUUGAG
rnacentral:lncRNA from 1 species